ACUCCUACGGGAGGCAGCAGUGGGAAUAUUGGACAAUGGGGGCAACCCUGAUCCAGCCAUGCCGCGUGUAUGAAGAAGGCCCUCGGGUUGUAAAGUACUUUCAGUGGUGAGGAAGGUUGCGUGGUUAAUACCCACGUAAUUUGACGUUAGCCACAGAAGAAGCACCGGCUAACUCCGUGCCAGCAGCCGCGGUAAUACGGAGGGUGCGAGCGUUAUCCGGAUUUAUUGGGUUUAAAGGGUCCGUAGGCGGAUUAAUAAGUCAGUGGUGAAAUCCCAUCGCUUAACGAUGGAACUGCCAUUGAUACUGUUAGUCUUGAAUGGGGUGCAGUGGUUGGAAUGUGUAGUGUAGCGUGAAAUGCAUAGAUAUUACACAGAACACCGAUUGCGAAGGCAGAUCACUAACCCUAAAUUGACGCUGAGGGACGAAAGCGUGGGGAGCGAACAGGAUUAGAUACCCUGUAGGCUCUG
rnacentral:rRNA from 1 species